rnacentral:rRNA from 1 species
UGGGGAAUAUUGGACAAUGGGCGAAAGCCUGAUCCAGCCAUGCCGCGUGUGUGAAGAAGGUCUUCGGAUUGUAAAGCACUUUAAGUUGGGAGGAAGGGCAUUAACCUAAUACGUUAGUGUUUUGACGUUACCGACAGAAUAAGCACCGGCUAACUCUGUGCCAGCAGCCGCGGUAAUACAGAGGGUGCAAGCGUUAAUCGGAAUUACUGGGCGUAAAGCGCGCGUAGGUGGUUUGUUAAGUUGGAUGUGAAAUCCCCGCGCUCAACCUGGGAACUGCAUUCAAAACUGACUGACUAGAGUAUGGUAGAGGGUGGUGGAAUUUCCUGUGUAGCGGUGAAAUGCGUAGAUAUAGGAAGGAACACCAGUGGCGAAGGCGACCACCUGGACUAAUACUGACACUGAGGUGCGAAAGCGUGGGGAGCAAACA